AAAAAAGAAAAUAGGAACGGUGACGGCGCAUCUGUGAAGCAAAAUACACUAAUCUUUUUUAUCCUACGUAUCUAAGAUCGAUCAGAUCUUCAAGAAAUCAAAUUUGACAACAAUGAAUAACCAAGGUCAAAAUGAAGGAACUAGUAACAACCAUGCAAACACACAAGAUGUUGAACAACAAUCCUCUCCUGCUGGACCAACAAUUUAUGUUCCAAAUCCAGAACUAAAGGCAGUCAUAGAA